rnacentral:rRNA from 1 species
GACGAACGCUGGCGGCGUGCCUAAUACAUGCAAGUUGAGCGCUGAAGGUUGGUACUUGUACCAACUGGAUGAGCAGCGAACGGGUGAGUAACGCGUGGGGAAUCUGCCUUUGAGCGGGGGACAACAUUUGGAAACGAAUGCUAAUACCGCAUAAAAACUUUAAACACAAGUUUUAAGUUUGAAAGAUGCAAUUGCAUCACUCAAAGAUGAUCCCGCGUUGUAUUAGCUAGUUGGUGUGGUAAAGGCUCACCAAGGCGAUGUUACAUAGCCGACCUGAGAGGGUGAUCGGCCACAUUGGGACUGAGACACGGCCCAAACUCCUACGGGAGGCAGCAGUAGGGAAUCGUCGGCAAUAGACGAAAGUCUGACCGAGCAACGCCGCGUGAGUGAAGAAGGUUGUCGGGUCGUAAAACUCUGUUGGUAGAGAAGAACGUUGGUGAGAGUGGAAAGCUCAUCAAGUGACGGUAACUACCCAGAAAGGGACGGCUAACUACGUG